rnacentral:rRNA from 1 species
AACGUACGCUGGCGGCACGCCUAACACAUGCAAGUCGAGCGAGGUAGCAAUACCUAGCGGCAGACGGGUGCGUAACAUGUGGGAAUCUGCCUUUUGGUUCGGAACAACACGGGGAAACCUGUGCUAAUACCGGAUAAGUCCUUACGGAGAAAGUUUUAAUGCCAAAAGAUGAGCCCGCAUUUGAUUAGCUAGUUGGUGAGGUAAAAGCUCACCAAGGCGAUAAUCAAUAGCUGAUUUGAGAGGAUGAUCAGCCACACUGGGACUGAGAUACGGCCCAGACUCCUACGGGAGGCAGCAGUGGGGAAUCUUGCACAAUGGGCGAAAGCCUGAUGCAGCGAUGCCGCGUGAGUGAAGAAGGCCUUUGGGUUGUAAAGCUCUUUUGUCGGGAAAGAUAAUGACUGUACCCGAAGAAUAAGGUCCGGCUAACUUCGUGCCAGCAGCCGCGGUAAUACGAAGGGACCUAGCGUAGUUCGGAAUUACUGGGCGUAAAGAGUAUGUAGGCGGCUAGAUAAGUUAAUUGUGAAAGCCCAAAGCUUAACUUUGGAAUUGCAAUUAAAACUAUUUAGCUGGAGUAUGAUAGAGGAAAGCGGAAUACAUAGUGUAGAGGUGAAAUUCGUAGAUAUUAUGUAGAACACCAGUUGCGAAGGCGGCUUUCUGGAUCAUUACUGACGCUGAGAUACGAAAGUAUGGGUAGCGAAGAGGAUUAGAUACCCUCGUAGUCCAUACCAUAAACGAUGAUUAUUAGAUGUGGGGAAUUAUUUCUCUGUAUCAUAGCUAACGCGUUAAAUAAUCCGCCUGGGGAGUACGACCGCAAGGUUAAAACUCAAAUGAAUUGACGGGGACCCGCACAAGCGGUGGAGCAUGUGGUUUAAUUCGAAGCAACGCGCAGAACCUUACCAACCCUUGACAUGUUCGUCGCGAGACUAAGAAAUUAGUCUCU